GAUGAAGAACGCAGCGAAAUGCGAUAAGUAAUGUGAAUUGCAGAAUUCAGCGAAUCAUCGAAUCUUUGAACGCACAUUGCGCCCAUUAGCAUUCUAGUGGGCAUGCCUGUUCGAGCGUCAUUUCAACCCUUAAGCCCUGUUGCUUAGCGUUGGGAGCCUACAGUACUGUAGCUCCCCAAAGUUAGUGGCGGAGUCGGUUUCACACUCUAGACGUAGUAAUUUUUUCUCGUCUGUAGUUGAGCCGGUCCCCUGCCGUAAAACACCCAAUUUAUCAAGGUUGACCUCGGAUCAGGUAGGAAUACCCGCUGAACUUAAGCAUAUCAAUAAGCGGAGGA
rnacentral:misc_RNA from 1 species